UACGUAGGGUGCGAGCGUUGUCCGGAUUUAUUGGGCGUAAAGAGCUCGUAGGCGGUUUGUCGCGUCGGCCGUGAAAUCUCCACGCUUAACGUGGAGCGUGCGGUCGAUACGGGCAGACUUGAGUUCGGUAGGGGAGACUGGAAUUCCUGGUGUAGCGGUGAAAUGCGCAGAUAUCAGGAGGAACACCGGUGGCGAGGGCGGGUCUCUGGGCCGAUACUGACGCUGAGGAGCGAAAGCGUGGGGAGCGAACAGG
rnacentral:rRNA from 1 species